CCUACGGGGGGCAGCAGUCGAGAAUAAUUCACAAUGGGGGCAACCCUGAUGGUGCAACGCCGCGUGGAGGAUGACGGUCUUCGGAUUGUAAACUCCUGUCAUCUGGGAGAAAGACCUGGCUGUGAAUAGCAGACAGGGUUGAUAGUACCAGAAGAGGAAGGGACGGCUAACUUCGUGCCAGCAGCCGCGGUAAUACGAAGGUCCCGAGCGUUGUUCGGAAUCACUGGGCGUAAAGGGAGCGUAGGCGGCGCGGUAAGUCAGAUGUGAAAUCCCGGGGCUCAACCCCGGAACUGCAUCCGAUACUGCCGUGCUAGAGUAAUGGAGGGGUAGCUGGAAUUCUCGGUGUAGCAGUGAAAUGCGUAGAUAUCGAGAGGAACACUCGUGGCGAAAGCGAGCUACUGGACAUUUACUGACGCUGAGGCUCGAAGGCUAGGGGAGCGAAAGGGAUUAGAUACCCGGGUAGUC
rnacentral:rRNA from 1 species